AGUGAACGCUGGCGGUAGGCCUAACACAUGCGAGUCGAACGGCAGCACAGUAAGAGCUUGCUCUUACGGGUGGCGAGUGGCGGACGGGUGAGGAAUACAUCGGAAUCUACUUUUUCGUGGGGGAUAACGUAGGGAAACUUACGCUAAUACCGCAUACGACCUACGGGUGAAAGCAGGGGAUCUUCGGACCUUGCGCGAUUGAAUGAGCCGAUGUCGGAUUAGCUAGUUGGCGGGGUAAAGGCCCACCAAGGCGACGAUCCGUAGCUGGUCUGAGAGGAUGAUCAGCCACACUGGAACUGAGACACGGUCCAGACUCCUACGGGAGGCAGCAGUGGGGAAUGUUGGACAAUGGGUUAGCGCCUGAUCCAGCCAUCCCGCGUGAAGGACGACGGCCCUAUGGGUUGUAAACUUCUUUUGUAUAGGGAUAAACCUACUCUCGUGAGAGUAGCUGAAGGUACUAUACGAAUAAGCACCGGCUAACUCCGUG
rnacentral:rRNA from 1 species